rnacentral:rRNA from 1 species
UACGAAGGGGGCUAGCGUUGUUCGGAAUUACUGGGCGUAAAGCGCACGUAGGCGGGUUGUUAAGUCAGGGGUGAAAUCCUGGAGCUCAACUCCAGAACUGCCUUUGAUACUGGCAACCUAGAGACUGGAAGAGGUUAGUGGAAUUCCCAGUGUAGAGGUGAAAUUCGUAGAUAUUGGGAAGAACACCAGUGGCGAAGGCGGCUAACUGGUCCAGCACUGACGCUGAGGUGCGAAAGCGUGGGGAGCAGACAGG